rnacentral:rRNA from 1 species
UCCAGACUCCUACGGGAGGCAGCAGUGGGGAAUAUUGCACAAUGGGGGGAACCUUGAUGCAGCAACGCCGCGUGGGUGAAGAAGUAUUUCGGUAUGUAAAGCUCUGUCAGCAGGGAAGAAAGAAAUGACGGUACCUGACCAAGAAGCCCCGGCUAACUACGUGCCAGCAGCCGCGGUAAUACGUAGGGGGCAAGCGUUAUCCGGAAUUACUGGGUGUAAAGGGAGCGUAGACGGUGAUGCAAGUCUGGAGUGAAAGGCGGGGGCCCAACCCCCGGACUGCUCUGGAAACUGUAUGACUUGAGCGCAGGGGAGGUAAGCGGAAUUCCUAGUGUAGCGGUGAAAUGCGUAGAUAUUAGGAGGAACACCAGUGGCGAAGGCGGCUUACUGGACUGUAACUGACGUUGAGGCUCGAAAGCGUGGGGAGCAAACAGGAUUAGAUACCCCGGUA